CUCUCUCUGCAGGAGGUCCUUCUCCUUUCCAAGCAGAAUACCUCCCUGUGGGCCAGAGCCUGGGUAGAAAUCUUUGUGGGAUUGGCGAUGGCCAUCUAUGACUUAAAUGAUGGCCUUGAAGUCCAUGGUGAGCAAUGAGUUCCUCAGGACAAAGCCCUGGGAAGACUGUCGAUUCAAUUCAGCGCAUACUCAUCACUUACUAUAGACGAGGCAGUUUGAAGAAAUGCAAAGCUGAACUUCAAACCAGUGGAAGAGAAAAUGUAAG